rnacentral:rRNA from 1 species
GAUGAACGCUGGCGGCGUGCCUAAUACAUGCAAGUCGAGCGGACAGACGAGGAGCUUGCUCCUCUGACGUUAGCGGCGGACGGGUGAGUAACACGUGGAUAACCUACCUAUAAGACUGGCAUAACUUCGGGAAACCGGAGCUAAUACCGGAUAAUAUAUUGAACCGCAUGGUUCAAUAGUGAAAGACGGUUUUGCUGUCACUUAUAGAUGGAUCCGCGCCGCAUUAGCUAGUUGGUAAGGUAACGGCUUACCAAGGCAACGAUGCGUAGCCGACCUGAGAGGGUGAUCGGACACACUGGAACUGAGACAAGGUCCAGACUCCUACGGGAGGCAGCAGUAGGGAAUCUUACGCAAUGGGCGAAAGCUUGACGGAGCAACGCCGCGUGAGUGAUGAAGGUCUUCGGAUCGUAAAACUCUGUUAUUAGGGAAGAACAAAUGUGUAAGUAACUAGGCACGUCUUGACGGUACCUAAUCAGAAAGCCACGGCUAACUACGUG